GACGUAGGGCGCGAGCGUUGUCCGGAUUUAUUGGGCGUAAAGAGCUCGUAGGCGGCUUGUCGCGUCGAAUGUGAAAACCCGGGGCUCAACUCCGGGCCUGCAUUCGAUACGGGCAGACUAGAGUUCGGUAGGGGAGACUGGAAUUCCUGGUGUAGCGGUGAAAUGCGCAGAUAUCAGGAGGAACACCGGUGGCGAAGGCGGGUCUCUGGGCCGAUACUGACGCUGAGGAGCGAAAGCGUGGGGAGCGAACAGG
rnacentral:rRNA from 1 species